GACAGAGGAUGCAAGCGUUAUCCGGAAUUACUGGGCGUAAAGCGUGCGCAGGCGGUUUUGUAAGUCUGACGUGAAAUCCCCGGGCUCAACCUGGGAAUUGCGUUGGAGACUGCAAGGCUAGAAUCUGGCAGAGGGGGGUAGAAUUCCACGUGUAGCAGUGAAAUGCGUAGAGAUGUGGAGGAACACCGAUGGCGAAGGCAGCCCCCUGGGUCAAGAUUGACGCUCAUGCACGAAAGCGUGGGGAGCAAACAGG
rnacentral:rRNA from 1 species